GAUGAAUGCUGGCGGCGUGCCUAACACAUGCAAGUCGAGCGGCAGCGAGGGGUGCUUGCACCCUGUCGGCGAGCGGCGAACGGCUGAGUAACGCGUAGGAAUUUGCCCCAAAGUGAGGAAUAACUGCCCGAAAGGGUAGCUAAUGCCGCAUAUGGUCUUCGGAUUAAAGGAUUUAUCCGCUUUGGGAGAAGCCUGCGUUGGAUUAGGUUGUUGGUAGGGUAAUGGCCUACCAAGCCGACGAUCCAUAGCUGGUCUGAGAGGAUGAUCAGCCAGACUGGAACUGAGACACGGUCCAGACUCCUACGGGAGGCAGCAGUGAGGAAUCUUCCACAAUGGGCGAAAGCCUGAUGGAGCAACGCCGCGUGAAGGAUGAAGGCCUUCGGGUUGUAAACUUCUUUUAUGAGUGAAGAAUAUGACGGUAACUCAUGAAUAAGCACCGGCUAACUACGU
rnacentral:rRNA from 1 species